UCAGAAUCCUCCCUCUCUUGACUUCGUUCUGCUUGGUUAUGCAAUGCACAUUCCUCCCACGGAAUAGCUGGUGUUGGAGACCUGCCGUAACACUGCUGUCACUGGCAGCAGAUGCAGAUCCAUAUUGCCAUAACAACAGUCUGGUGCUCCGGCUGCUAUCGCCUCUCUUCAGACGUCAUUGGGAUUUUACAGCUCCAUGGGAUUUUACAGCUUUUCCACUUUUGGAAUAUCAUCUGCCAGACUCCACUAAUUCCAGGACGUAAACCAUUCCUACUUGGCUCAACGGAGGAUGGGUGUCCCCAUCAACUGAUCCUAAAGACAGUUUUGUAAUGACUGGCAUGGGGGCUACAGUGACAGGCAUGAGGGCUUUUUUGAAAUUGUACUGUUCCACAGAAGAGUAGUAAGCCAUCAGAAGGGAUAGAACUGAAAAAGGAGGUGUUGGAUUUACUGAUAAGCCGGGCAGGGAGGUGGAUGAGUUGUGUUUAGGCAAAGCAGUAAAAGGGAACUCAAGAGACAGCAGACAGAAAAAAGAUGGGAGGAACAGUGGGGAGGCAGGAGAGGGUAAAUGGGGAGAGGGUAUCUCCCUCAGAAGAAGCUACUAGCGCUUUAGCAGCAAUGCAAUCCUGCUGAUAAGAGAUUGCGAUUGCGAGGGGGAAACUUAAUCAAAAGGAAGUUGGGGGGUGGAGGGUUUUUAAACCUGACCGGUGGCGCUACAGACUGGGUGAGUGGAGAAGUGACACAUCAGGCUUUUUUACUGGAAAGCCUGUGAGCACAGCGAAGGCAUCGUGCCACUACUACCUUCCAUCGCUCCGUCUGUCAUUGUCUGAGGCUACACAUCUCUUCUCUCCCCCCAUCCUCGACAUGUAGAAUGUCUUUGAAGCCAUGGCUUACCAGUGAGGAUCCAAAAAGCAUGCCGGAUGUUGUUGUCAUACACCUUAGACGCCUUAGGAUAAGUGUUCCCCUGCCUGGUUAGCUGAGCAUCAGGAUCAUGGGCACCACAGCCAUCACCCUCGAGGACUUCAAGGCACUAGAGGUCAAGGAGGAGCAGGAGGAGUCUAUCUUGGCAUUUUUGGGCAUAAUUUGCACAUUCCUUAACCUUUUUGUAGUCGUCUUUGUUUAUAUUUACACCACACUGUGAAAUCAAACAUAAAGGGUUCUUUAAACCUGACGUCAGAAAAGACUUCUACGAUAAAGGAGGAAGUGAGCAGGCAGGAAGGAGGAUUAGAAAGAGUUGGAAAAAGAAAACUGACAUGAACAUCUUUCCCAGAAAGAGGUGGAGGAAACUGGACACACUGGAAGAGGUUGAAGAUGGCGAAGCCAUGAUGCCAAGCCAUAGCCAUGACUCGGGGAGAUAACAGAGGGCUGGGAGACAUGGCAGAAAGCGGGCUGUGUGGGUCCCAGCGUGGGCAGAGCCAGGUGGACAUGACUAAGCCACCCAGUGGCCUGAUAUGAUAUACAAACCUCUACUUCAACUCAUUUUCCUGGACUUCUGGACUCUUUGAAAGUCUUAUGGACUUUCAUUUUAAAUGUAUGUUGAUAAGACUAAUUGCUCUUUGAAUGGAAGGGCUUUUAACAACCUGAUUACAAGUAGAACUUUUGAAGCUUCUAUGGAGACACUAUUUGCCACCAUAUCCCAUCAGCCUUCAGGGCCACAUACUGUAGCUUCCCGGCCCCUGUCCAAGAGUUUCCCCAGAAAUGUGGCUCUUAGUUCUGCUGUACUUUCAUCUCCAAAAAUAUCUGCCAUUUCUAAAAUGCCCUCAACCAACCAGAAACAACCUUACAUGUAAACACAUUUUUAUUUAGGAAAAUAUGUGCAAAAACGUUUACAUUGUGCUGAUGAGGAAUUUGUAGAGAUGUUACUCCAAAAGGGAGAUAUUUUUUUUAUAAAGAAAACGUUUAAUUAUCAAUAAAUGUGAGAAAACGAUAAACGUGUCAAUAAACCAUGUAGCCUAUAUACAUGUAAACUGGGUCUAUCUUCUUGCUUUUUCUGCAUCUAUUUCCACAAUUUGAAGUUGGUGUUUGGGAGGGGGGGUUGGAAUAUUCUCAUAUAUUUGUUCAUGUUGAUUUCAGGUUUGUGUCCGCAAUCUUUUUCCUGUGUUAAAAAAGCUUGUAUACACAUUUGAAUCAAGUCGAGAGGUAACAUGUAAUAGGGGACAUCUGAAAAAUAAAAUCUGAACAU